UACGUAGGGGGCAAGCGUUGUCCGGAUUUAUUGGGCGUAAAGCGCGCGUAGGCGGCGCGGUAUGUCGUGCGUGAAAUCUCCCGGCUUAACUGGGAGGGGCCGUGCGAAACUGCCGGGCUUAGGUCGGAAGGGGAAAGUGGAAUUCCGGGUGUAGUGGUGGAAUACGUAGAUAUCCGGAGGAACACCAGCGGCGAAGGCGGCUUUCUGGUCCGAUACUGACGCUGAGGUGCGAAAGCGUGGGGAGCGAUCCGG
rnacentral:rRNA from 1 species